GGUGAAAAGCACCCCGGAAGGGGAGUGAAAUAGAACCUGAAACCGUGUGCUUACAAGUAGUCAGAGCCCGUUAAUGGGUGAUGGCGUGCCUUUUGUAGAAUGAACCGGCGAGUUACGAUUUGAUGCAAGGUUAAGCAGUAAAUGUGGAGCCGUAGCGAAAGCGAGUCUGAAUAGGGCGUUUAGUAUUUGGUCGUAGACCCGAAACCAGGUGAUCUACCCUUGGUCAGGUUGAAGUUCAGGUAACACUGAAUGGAGGACCGAACCGACUUACGUUGAAAAGUGAGCGGAUGAACUGAGGGUAGCGGAGAAAUUCCAAUCGAACCUGGAGAUAGCUGGUUCUCUCCGAAAUAGCUUUAGGGCUAGCCUCAAGUGAUGAUUAUUGGAGGUAGAGCACUGUUUGGACGAGGGGCCCCUCUCGGGUUACCGAAUUCAGACAAACUCCGAAUGCCAAUUAAUUUAACUUGGGAGUCAGAACAUGGGUGAUAAGGUCCGUGUUCGAAAGGGAAACAGCCCAGACCACCAGCUAAGGUCCCAAAAUAUAUGUUAAGUGGAAAAGGAUGUGGCGUUGCCCAGACAACUAGGAUGUUGGCUUAGAAGCAGCCAUCAUUUAAAGAGUGCGUAAUAGCUCACUAGUCGAGUGACACUGCGCCGAAAAUGUACCGGGGCUAAACAUAUUACCGAAGCUGUGGAUUGUCCUUUGGACAAUGGUAGGAGAGCGUUCUAAGGGCGUUGAAGCAUGAUCGUAAGGACAUGUGGAGCGCUUAGAAGUGAGAAUGCCGGUGUGAGUAGCGAAAGACGGGUGAGAAUCCCGUCCACCGAUUGACUAAGGUUUCCAGAGGAAGGCUCGUCCGCUCUGGGUUAGUCGGGUCCUAAGCUGAGGCCGACAGGCGUAGGCGAUGGAUAACAGGUUGAUAUUCCUGUACCACCUAUAAUCGUUUUAAUCGAUGGGG
rnacentral:rRNA from 1 species